rnacentral:rRNA from 1 species
GACGAACGCUGGCGGCGUGCUUAACACAUGCAAGUCGAACGGAAAGGCCCUGCUUUUGUGGGGUGCUCGAGUGGCGAACGGGUGAGUAACACGUGGGUAACCUGCCCUUGACUUUGGGAUAACUUCAGGAAACUGGGGCUAAUACCGGAUAGGAGCUCCUGCUGCAUGGUGGGGGUUGGAAAGUUUCGGCGGUUGGGGAUGGACUCGCGGCUUAUCAGCUUGUUGGUGGGGUAGUGGCUUACCAAGGCUUUGACGGGUAGCCGGCCUGAGAGGGUGACCGGCCACAUUGGGACUGAGAUACGGCCCAGACUCCUACGGGAGGCAGCAGUGGGGAAUAUUGCACAAUGGGCGGAAGCCUGAUGCAGCAACGCCGCGUGCGGGAUGACGGCCUUCGGGUUGUAAACCGCUUUCGCCUGUGACGAAGCGUGAGGGACGGUAAUGGGUAAAGAAGCACCGGCUAACUACGU